rnacentral:rRNA from 1 species
GACAGAGGGGGCAAGCGUUGCUCGGAAUCACUGGGCGUAAAGGGCGCGUAGGCGGUUGAUCAAGUCUGGGGUGAAAUCUUUCGGCUUAACCGGAAAAGUGCCUUGGAUACUGGUCAGCUGGAGGGAGGUAGGGGCAGUUGGAACUUCCAGUGGAGCGGUGAAAUGCGUUGAUAUUGGAAGGAACGCCGGUGGCGAAGGCGGUUCUCUGGGCCUUACCUGACGCUGAGGAGCGAAAGCGUGGGGAGCGAACAGG